rnacentral:rRNA from 2 species
AGGGAUCAUUACAGAGUUGCAAAACUCCAACAAACCAUCGCGAAUCUUACCCGUACGGUUGCCUCGGCGCUGGCGGUCCGGAAGGCCCUCGGGCCCCCCGGAUCCUCGGGUCUCCCGCUCGCGGGAGGCUGCCCGCCGGAGUGCCGAAACCAAACUCUUGAUAUUUUAUGUCUCUCUGAGUAAACUUUUAAAUAAGUCAAAACUUUCAACAACGGAUCUCUUGGUUCUGGCAUCGAUGAAGAACGCAGCGAAAUGCGAUAAGUAAUGUGAAUUGCAGAAUUCAGUGAAUCAUCGAAUCUUUGAACGCACAUUGCGCUCGCCAGUAUUCUGGCGAGCAUGCCUGUUCGAGCGUCAUUUCAACCAUCAAGCUCUGCUUGCGUUGGGGAUCCGCGUCUGACGCGGUCCCUCAAAAACAGUGGCGGGCUCGCUAGUCACACCGAGCGUAGUAACUCUACAUCGCUAUGGUCGUGCGGCGGGUUCUUGCCGUAAAACCCCCAAUUUCUAAGGUUGACCUCGGAUCAGGUAGGAAUACCCGCUGAACUUAA